UCAGGCACCUUUUGCUCCAGCCAGAGGCAAGAUCGUUGACAGCUAGGACCGGCUGGAUUGCGCUCCAUCACUUUACAUUACUAUACACACUCCAUCGCCCAAUUGUUAGUUUGUGACUAAGCCUUCUCUUGUCUCCAUUAGCAUUCAAAUUUCGUUCUUCAUCUAUAAUAUCUAAAUAGCUUUUCUUUCUUUGAAGAGUGUUACCAUCAUGGUGCCUUCUCCAGCUCCUAGGACUGUACAAUUAAAAUGUGGAAGAUUUCAAAGGAAGCUGAUGUGUGAAUUGAAGGGGAAUGGGCACUGGUUAAAUCUCUUGCAGUGUGCUUCACCUCCGGAGGAAAUUAAGCAAGGGUAAGACUGCGUACAUCUGUCCCUCUCAGACCUCACAUUGGUGGCUCCUAUACAAGCAAUAUGGGGAAACAUUGCCACUGCUUUCUCAGUCGGGCACUCUGGCUCUUUCAUUUUAGGUAGUUUAGUGAAAAAGCCAGAGUGCCCGACUGAGAAAGCAGUGGCAUCGGUGACUCAGUGUUGUAGCCUUGUAGGGGGGCAUAAAAGGGACUGGGAUCGGCAUUGUCGUCAGACAAGAUUGUGGAGCCGAAGUGGGCACCACUGGUUCCUGGAAUUCAAACACUAAAGAGGAUGCAAACAACCACUCAUGCUAUAUAAAGAGAAGCAAAGUUACAUGUAUUUUGCUCGCCUUGGUUAUAUAGUACAGGCCACAAAGUUAAUUGUAUAAUAUCAAUUUAUAUUUUUAUCCUUUACUUACACACGACGUACAUAAGUUAUAUUAGUUGCUUAAAUGGAAAUUUUUG